AGAGUGGGUCGGAUGGCUACUCCGGGAGGUUCGGCAAGAAUGUCCCGGGGAGGAAAGUCCGAGCACCGCAGGACAGGGUGCCCCGUAACGCGGGGAGUCCGCGAGGACAUGGAAAGUGCAGCAGAAACCAGACCGCCCCGAUUUCGAUCGGAGUAAGGGUGAAACGGAGGUGUAAGAGACCCCCAGUUCCGUCGGCGACGGCGGAAGCUUGUAAACCCCACCCGGUGCAAGACCGAAUAGGCUCCGAAGGCAGACGCCCCGAUGUGGUCCGCAUCGAUGUCCCUCCGGGACGAGAGGAGCGGGUAGGUUGCUUGAUCCCGGUUGUAAGACCGGGACCAGAUGAAUGGCCAUCUUCCCGGCUGUGGUCGGGAAACAGGACUCGGCUUACAGACCCACUCUCUUU
rnacentral:RNase_P_RNA from 1 species